AUUGAACGCUGGCGGCAUGCCUUACACAUGCAAGUCGAGCGGUAACAGGUCUUCGGAUGCUGACGAGUGGCGAACGGGUGAGUAAUACAUCGGAACGUGCCCGAUCGUGGGGGAUAACGGAGCGAAAGCUUUGCUAAUACCGCAUACGAUCUACGGAUGAAAGCAGGGGACCGCAAGGCCUUGCGCGGACGGAGCGGCCGAUGGCAGAUUAGGUAGUUGGUGGGAUAAAAGCUUACCAAGCCGACGAUCUGUAGCUGGUCUGAGAGGACGACCAGCCACACUGGGACUGAGACACGGCCCAGACUCCUACGGGAGGCAGCAGUGGGGAAUUUUGGACAAUGGGCGAAAGCCUGAUCCAGCCAUGCCGCGUGCAGGAUGAAGGCCUCCGGGUUGUAAACUGCUUUUGUACGGAACGAAAAGACUCUUUCUAAUAAAGAGGGUCCAUGACGGUACCGUAAGAAUAAGCACCGGCUAACUACGUG
rnacentral:rRNA from 1 species